GAUGAACGCUGGCGGCGUGCCUUAUACAUGCAAGUUGAGCGGUAGCAGUUCCUCAUUUUGUUUUUAAGCUAAAAACUUGAAAGUGAAAAUGAGGAAGCUGACGAGCGGCGAACGGGUGAGUAACACGUAGGAACUCGCCUCAAAGUGAGGGAUAACCUAUCGAAAGAUAGGCUAAUACCGCAUAUGGUCUACGGAUUAAAGCCUUCGGGCGCUUUGAGAGAGGCCUGCGCAAGAUUAGUUAGUUGGUGAGGUAAUGGCUCACCAAGACGAUGAUCUUUAGCUGGUUUGAGAGGAUGAUCAGCCACACUGGAACUGAGAUACGGUCCAGACUCCUACGGGAGGCAGCAGUAGGGGAAUAUUCCACAAUGGGCGAAAGCCUGAUGGAGCAACGCCGCGUGCAGGAUGAAGGCCUUCGGGUCGGUAACUGUCUUUUAUUAUUGUGAAGAAUAUGACGGUAGCAUAUGUAAUAAGACCGUCGGCCGUAACCUCCGUCG
rnacentral:rRNA from 1 species